rnacentral:rRNA from 1 species
GAGUUUGAUCCUGGCUCAGAACGAACGCUGACGGCGCGUCUUAAGCAUGCAAGUCGAACGGUAAGAGAGGAGCUUGCUCUUCUCCUAGAGUGGCGGACUGGUGAGUAACGCGUAGGUGACCUACCCUGAAGAUGGGGAUAGCUAGUAGAAAUAUUAGAUAAUACCGAAUAAGCUCAUAGACGUAAACGGAUAUGAGGAAAGGAGCUACGGCUCCGCUUUAGGAUGGGCCUGCGUCCCAUUAGCUAAGUUGGUGAGGUAAAGGCUCACCAAGGCGACGGUGGGUAUCCGGCCUGAGAGGGUGAACGGACACAUUGGGACUGAGAUACGGCCCAAACUCCUACGGGAGGCAGCAGCUAAGAAUCUUCCGCAAUGGACGAAAGUCUGACGGAGCGACGCCGUGUGAAUGAAGAAGGCCGAAAGGUUGUAAAGUUCUUUUGCAGAUGAAGAAUAAGGGCAAGAGGGAAUGCUUGUC